rnacentral:rRNA from 1 species
GACGAACGCUGGCGGCGUGCCUAAUACAUGCAAGUUGAGCGCUGAAGGUUGGUACUUGUACCAACUGGAUGAGCAGCGAACGGGUGAGUAACGCGUGGGGAAUCUGCCUUUGAGCGGGGGACAACAUUUGGAAACGAAUGCUAAUACCGCAUAAAAACUUUAAACACAAGUUUUAAGUUUGAAAGAUGCAAUUGCAUCACUCAAAGAUGAUCCCGCGUUGUAUUAGCUAGUUGGUGAGGUAAAGGCUCACCAAGGCGAUGAUACAUAGCCGACCUGAGAGGGUGAUCGGCCACAUUGGGACUGAGACACGGCCCAAACUCCUACGGGAGGCAGCAGUAGGGAAUCUUCGGCAAUGGACGAAAGUCUGACCGAGCAACGCCGCGUGAGUGAAGAAGGUUUUCGGAUCGUAAAACUCUGUUGGUAGAGAAGAACGUUGGUGAGAGUGGAAAGCUCAUCAAGUGACGGUAACUACCCAGAAAGGGACGGCUAACUACGUGCCAGCAGCCGCGGUAAUACGUAGGUCCCGAGCGUUGUCCGGAUUUAUUGGGCGUAAAGCGAGCGCAGGUGGUUUAUUAAGUCUGGUGUAAAAGGCAGUGGCUCAACCAUUGUAUGCAUUGGAAACUGGUAGACUUGAGUGCAGGAGAGGAGAGUGGAAUUCCAUGUGUAGCGGUGAAAUGCGUAGAUAUAUGGAGGAACACCGGUGGCGAAAGCGGCUCUCUGGCCUGUAACUGACACUGAGGCUCGAAAGCGUGGGGAGCAAACAGGAUUAGAUACCCUGGUAGUCCACGCCGUAAACGAUGAGUGCUAGAUGUAGGGAGCUAUAAGUUCUCUGUAUCGCAGCUAACGCAAUAAGCACUCCGC